rnacentral:ncRNA from 2 species
UUGUAGUUUUCUGACUUAGUGAAAGUCUAAACCGGAAGUUAAAGUCUUCGUACUUUUUUAAGCAUGAAUAGGUGAAAUUCCUAUACCGACAGUAAAGUCUGAAUGAAGAAAAUACAA